AGUUCAUCAUCAACAAUGGCGGAAUCGACACCGAGAAGGAUUACCCUUACAAGGGCACGGACGGACGGUGUGAUGUCAACAGGAAAAACGCGAAGGUUGUCACUAUUGACAGCUACGAAGAUGUACCAGCGAACGAUGAGAAGAGUCUGCAGAAGGCAGUUGCAAACCAGCCUGUCAGUGUCGCAAUUGAGGCUGCUGGCACAACAUUUCAGCUCUACAGCUCGGGUAUCUUCACUGGAAGCUG